AGGGCUGGCGCUCCCUCCCUGGAGGGCUGGCUUCCGCCACAGCCUAGUUGCCACCCGUGGAAGUUCCUGCUUCCGUUUUCAAGAAUGCAGACAGGGAACCGGCAUUACUGAUUUUCAGUGCCCAGAAAGGCUUGGACUCUUCUGGGAAAGGAAGGGUUACAGGGCCCGAGCAGAUGCUCAGGGUGUGGCCAGGGGCCCGGGGACUCAGAUGCUGGGUGACACGGGUGCAGAUGAGGGUGCAUAAGUCACACAGCUCCCCGCCCCCCCAAUCCUGGAAGAGUCUCGCCCUGGCAGCACCUGAAAAGUUAAGCCUUGCGGCGAACGGCAGACUCCACGCUCGGACCGUCUGUCCGUUUUUGGUUGUUUGAAGGGAUGUUCUCUAGCUGUAGCUUCCCUUCAGCCAUCAGGAGCUCUCACACCCGCCUGGGGUGGCCGUGGGGCCUGGUGGAAUGCGUGGCCUCUAGGGAGUGCCAUGCAGGCUCACCCGUUCCCGCUUCCUCU